rnacentral:tRNA from 1 species
GUUACUUUGGUGUAAUGGUAGCACAUCUGUCAUGUUCACCGAAGAUGUGGGUUCGAGUCCCAUGGCUAGCC